ACGGAGGGUGCAAGCGUUAUCCGGAAUCAUUGGGUUUAAAGGGUCCGCAGGCGGUCUUAUAAGUCAGUGGUGAAAGCCUACAGCUCAACUGUAGAACUGCCAUUGAUACUGUAAGACUUGAAUUCGAUCGAAGUGGGCGGAAUAUGACAUGUAGCGGUGAAAUGCUUAGAUAUGUCAUAGAACACCGAUAGCGAAGGCAGCUCACUAGGUCUGGAUUGACGCUCAGGGACGAAAGCGUGGGGAGCAAACAGGA
rnacentral:rRNA from 1 species